rnacentral:tRNA from 1 species
GGCGCGGUGGACGAAUUGGGAGAGUCGCCCGGCUUUCACCCGGGACACUGUGCGGGUUCGAGGCCCGUCCGCGCUGC